UGCUGCCUCUGAGGGCAGCUCGGCCUGGCUUGGCUUUGCCUGAGCUUCCCUCCAUGCAAAAGGCAAAAGAGGGAUUAUUUGUGGCUCUGAAGCAGGAGGCUGUGACCUAGCGAAGGAGGAGGCCUCAGGGAGCCCUGUGGGGCCCGGCUGCUGUGGGGCACAGCCAAGGUCAUCUGCAGAACUUAGCCUGUCCUAAAGGCUGGGGGACCUCCUUCCUAAGGCCCAUCACGCUAGGUCAGAACAUGAGCUGCUGCUUCUCUUGAAAGGCAGGAGGGCAUUGUUUAGGCAAAGUCCGGCUUAAAGGUGGAGAUUGUGCCUUUGCUGGAAGCACUUUGCAAUGUUCUUCCUGUUCUGGAAAGGGCAGCUGUUGAUAAAAACUGAUUCCAAAACCCAAGAUGCCUUUGAUAUUAGCAAGGUUUAAGGCUUUUGUUGAAUGUCACAGGCUGUUUAUUGUCCAGAACAGAAAGGUUUUGUUCUUCCUGUGGCCCUUAAUGUUUAUAGACAACAAUCACUUUACUUGGUUGUGGUUUUCUGAUCCCUGUCUCCUCUGACUGUUUCUCCAUGUGCUUGGACAUGUUUAGUUUAGGCUUUUAGUUGGGUGCAGGCCGUCUGUGCUGCAGAGCUGCUUGUCUUGCUGCUGCUGUUUUUGUGGUGGUGGUGGUGCGGUGGUGGUGAUGGUGGUGGUGCGGUGGUGGUGUUGUUCCCCAGCUGACUGAGCUGAAAGGGCCCAGUGUCCCAGAGAGUGGCCCUGCCUUUCUGAUCUGCUGCAGGGUGGCAUCUCUGUCUUGAAAUGAGCAUCUUCCCUUUGGAUUUUUGCAGGGAUGCUGGUGAGCGAGGGAGAUCCAGAGGCGAAAUACACAGAACUGGAAACUAUUGGCAAAGGGGGUUUUGGCACGGUGUUCACAGCAGUGGAGACUGCCACAGGAGAAGAGGUAAGCGUCAAGCAGCGCUGCAGCUGCUGCAGCUCUCAAGUGCCCUCCCCUCUGCUGUGAGCUGUGCCUGAGCUUUGGGUCGCCGGUCGAGCUUUGCUGCAAAGGCAGAUGAAGCGCAGAGUGGCGUCUGCCUGCCAAAUACCGUGGGGACAGAUUUUGUUCUCCUCAGCUGCCCCAAGGAAUGCAAGGAGGCCAAGCAGUAUCUUUCAGAGGAGGACACGCUGGCUGGGUCUUAACACCAAGGUGGUGUCACAG
rnacentral:lncRNA from 1 species